rnacentral:tRNA from 1 species
GGGGCACUAGCUCAAUUGGCAGAGCGCGGGACUCCAAAUCCCGCGGUUGGGGGUUCGAGUCCUCCGUGCCCCGC